GAUGAACGCUAGCGGGAGGCUUAAUACAUGCAAGUCGAGGGGUAACAGGUACUUCGGUAUGCUGACGACCGGCGCACGGGUGAGUAACGCGUACACAACCUACCUCAUAGAGGGGGAUAGCCUCUGGAAACGGAGAGUAAUACCCCGUAGUAUUGGAUGAAGGCAUCUUUGUCCAUUUAAAGCUCCGGUGCUAUGAGAUGGGUGUGCGUACUAUUAGGUAGUUGGCGGGGUAACGGCCCACCAAGCCGACGAUAGUUAGGGGGCGUGAGAGCGUGGCCCCCCACACGGGUACUGAGACACGGACCCGACUCCUACGGGAGGCAGCAGUAAGGAAUAUUGGACAAUGGAGGCAACUCUGAUCCAGCCAUCCCGCGUGCAGGAUGACGGCCCUACGGGUUGUAAACUGCUUUUAUAGGAGAAGAAUCCCCCCAACGUGUUGGGGGUUGACGGUAUCCUACGAAUAAGCACCGGCUAACUCCG
rnacentral:rRNA from 1 species